AUGUUAUUUAUGAUUAUCCUGCCCAUAAUUAUUUUGUUUUGUAUAUUAGUGUUGUUUAGCAUAGCUAAUACGGCGGUGAUACUUGUCACCGUCCGUUUUGCUCUCACCGUGGAUCUCGUGUACAUGCACUAUCAGGGACCAUUGCACACCUUCGCUGACAACCAUCAGAUCUUCAUCAGGACUUCAUCAUCAUCAUCCAACGCUCAGAAGAUGCUUCCCCACGGUGAACUUUCUGGAGCAGUCCCACAGGAUUCUGCAGACACCAUUCCAACACAUGGGCUUGCUGUUAUUGGGCCUAGCGAAAUUCAGAUCUUUACCACCCUGUUUUACUGGUUCCAG